AACUUUAAGUCUAACAGGGAAGAGGUCUACCACGUUGAGUCUGAUUCUUGUUUGAUCUAAGAGCUUCCAAUAGUCUCCUUUAUUUCUUCUGUUGCAGGAACCUCCAACUGGCUUGGCUCAGCUGAUUUUUCUAUCACUGCUGGGCCUUCUGACUCACUCUGAUUCACCAACUGGUUAUUAAUUACAAGACCUGGAAAGGGUUUAAUGACUGUGAAUUUGAAAAACUCUGCAGAAUCUAUGAUCCUUCUCAUGGAGCUGAUUUCCAGGGCUCUUAGAGGCGGUGCUCUUCGUAAUGGCUGUCUCCAACAUUUGGGGCUUUUUCAUGAUGAAUUUAAUCUUGGCUUUGUUUCUGAGAAUCUUCUCCAGCCUCAUAAUGCCAAAAGUAGAUGUCUUCAGAAUGGCACAGCCUCAGACUUGGAAUUCGGUACCAUGAAGAACUUCUAA
rnacentral:lncRNA from 1 species